UACCAGCACCCCGAGUGGUCGGGACGAUUAUUGGGCCUAAAGCAUCCGUAGCCGGUUUUACAAGUCCUCCGUUAAAUCCAGCUGCUUAACAGAUGGGCUGCGGAGGAUACUAUAAGACUAGGAGGCAGGAGAGGCAAGCGGUACUCAGUGGGUAGGGGUAAAAUCCGUUGAUCCAUUGAAGACCACCAGUGGCGAAGGCGGCUUGCCAGAAUGCGCUCGACGGUGAGGGAGUGAAAGCUGGGGGAGCAACCGGAUUAGAAACCCC
rnacentral:rRNA from 1 species